rnacentral:tRNA from 1 species
UCUGAUUUAACAUAUAUUUAAUGUGUUGGAUUGUAAAUCCAUAGAAAGCAGUUGCUAAUCAGGA